GGGGAUUUAGCUCAGAGGUAGAGCACUUGCCUAGCAAGCGCAAGGCCCUGGGUUCGAUCCCCAGCUCCG
rfam:Rattus norvegicus chromosome 7, whole genome shotgun sequence.